rnacentral:rRNA from 1 species
AUCCUGGCUCAGAUUGAACGCUGGCGGCAUGCUUUACACAUGCAAGUCGAACGGGGUUGGGAGCUUGCUUCCAAUCUAGUGGCGAACGGGUGAGUAAUACAUCGGAACGUACCGUGUAGUGGGGGAUAACGUAGCGAAAGUUACGCUAAUACCGCAUACGAUCCACGGAUGAAAGCAGGGGACCUUCGGGCCUUGUGCUAUACGAGCGGCCGAUGUCUGAUUAGCUAGUUGGUGAGGUAAAGGCUCACCAAGGCGACGAUCAGUAGCGGGUCUGAGAGGAUGAUCCGCCACACUGGGACUGAGACACGGCCCAGACUCCUACGGGAGGCAGCAGUGGGGAAUUUUGGACAAAUGGGCGCAAGCCUGAUCCAGCCAUGCCGCGUGUCUGAAGAAGGCCUGGUUGU